GGGGACGUUACGGAUUCGACAGGGAUGGUUCAAGCUUGAGCUGCGCGUCGGAGGUCUCGGCUCCGUCAUCAACGGAAGUUAUAUAAUAACUGGCAAACAACAAAAUUUAGCUUUCGCAGCGUAAGCUCGUGAGCGCUCUGCCUCUCUAUCGCCCAUGUAGAGAACGUGGGGCCCAACUUUAGUGGGAUACGGUCGGUGGUGCCACUUGAGUCACCGUCAAGAGAUUUCCAAGUUAGUGCUCAGGACGCCUGUUUGUCGGCAUAAUGUAGCACGAAUUGCAAAUAGGCAAACUACACGCGUAGAAGUUUAAGUAUUGGAGUUUCUGGACGCGGGUUCGACUCCCGCCGUCUCCAUAG
rnacentral:tmRNA from 1 species